UGGCUCAGUUGGUAGAGCAUGGUGUUUGCAACGCCAGGGUUGUGGGUUUGAUUCCCUC
rfam:Salmo salar isolate Sally breed double haploid chromosome ssa07, whole genome shotgun sequence.